rnacentral:rRNA from 1 species
AACGCUAGCGGCAGGCCUAACACAUGCAAGUCGAACGGUAACAGAUCUAGCUUGCUAGAUGCUGACGAGUGGCGCACGGGUGCGUAACGCGUAUACAAUCUACCUUUAACUGAGGGAUAGCCCAGAGAAAUUUGGAUUAAUACCUCAUAGUAUUAUAAAUAGGCAUCUUUUUAUAAUUAAAACUUCGGUGGUUAAAGAUGAGUAUGCGUACUAUUAGCUAGUUGGUAAGGUAAAAGCUUACCAAGGCAACGAUAGUUAGGGGGCCUGAAAGGGUGAUCCCCCACACUGGUACUGAGACACGGACCAGACUCCUACGGGAGGCAGCAGUGAGGAAUAUUAGACAAUGGGCGAAAGCCUGAUCUAGCCAUGCCGCGUGCAGGAUGACGGCCCUAUGGGUUGUAAACUGCUUUUAUACAGGAAGAAAAAACUCUACGUGUAGAGUCUUGACGGUACUGUAAGAAUAAGGAUCGG